rnacentral:rRNA from 1 species
UACGUAGGGUGCAAGCGUUGUCCGGAAUUAUUGGGCGUAAAGAGCUCGUAGGCGGUCUGUCGCGUCGGAUGUGAAAAUCCAGGGCUCAACCCUGGACCUGCAUUCGAUACGGGCAGACUAGAGUUCGGCAGGGGAGACUGGAAUUCCUGGUGUAGCGGUGAAAUGCGCAGAUAUCAGGAGGAACACCGGUGGCGAAGGCGGGUCUCUGGGCCGAUACUGACGCUGAGGAGCGAAAAGCGUGGGGGAGCGAACAGG